GGGAAAAACUAUCGCCACUAGUGAGAAAUAAUAUGUACCUAUAAUUGGUAGGUGUGGGUUCAGAUAGAGUGCAUUUCAUGUCGACGUAUUUGUGUAUGAAUAUAAAGAAGAAGAACACCAAAUGUACCGUACAUGUGAUUUGUUUUAAAAUUAUUUUUUUUUUGUUCUCUACAACAAAAAGUGUGCUGCUGUUUGCGUACAGACAGACGAAAUGACACGUUCAAUGCAACAAUAUAUAAAAGACGGAAAUAAAACUGCGGUCAAAGACAUUUUAAGAUAUGUAUGUAUGUUUGCAUACAUAUGUAUGUGUAUGUAUUUAGUACAUAUGUAAAUUAAUUUAUACAAUGUAUUUAGUAUAUAGUGCUGUUUCUUAUUGUAAUGUGCAAUUUAAAAAUACUUGUUUAUUAUUUUAAAAAUAAAUUUGUUUGUACAUAUGUAAAUAUUUUA